UCCUCCCUCUUUCUUCGUGCUUAACACAUGCAAGUCGAACGGAAAGGCCCUGCUUUUGUGGGGGGCUCGAGUGGCGAACGGGUGAGUAACACGUGAGUAACCUGCCCUUGACUUGGGGAUAACUUCAGGAAACUGGGGCUAAUACCGGAUAGGAGCGCCUGCUGCAUGGGGGGGGUUGGAAAGUUUCGGCGGUUGGGGAUGGACUCGCGGCUUAUCAGCUUGUUGGGGGGGUAGUGGCUUACCAAGGCUUUGACGGGUAGCCGGCCUGAGAGGGUGACCGGCCACCUUGGGACUGAGAUACGGCCCAGACUCCUACUGGAGGCAGCAGUGGGGAAUAUUGCACAAUGGGCGGACGCCUGAUGCAGCAACGCCGCGUGCGGGAUGACGGCCUUCGGGUUGUAAACCGCUUUCGCCUGUGACGAAGCGUGAGUGACGGUAAUGGGUAAAGAAGCACCGGCUAACUACGUG
rnacentral:rRNA from 1 species